UACGAAGGGGGCUAGCGUUGUUCGGAAUUACUGGGCGUAAAGCGCACGUAGGCGGAUAUUUAAGUCAGGGGUGAAAUCCCGGGGCUCAACCCCGGAACUGCCUUUGAUACUGGGUAUCUCGAGUCCGAGAGAGGUGAGCGGAAUUCCGAGUGUAGAGGUGAAAUUCGUAGAUAUUCGGAGGAACACCAGUGGCGAAGGCGGCUCACUGGCUCGGUACUGACGCUGAGGUGCGAAAGCGUGGGGAGCAAACAGG
rnacentral:rRNA from 1 species